rnacentral:rRNA from 1 species
UACGAAGGGUGCAAGCGUUACUCGGAAUUACUGGGCGUAAAGCGUGCGUAGGUGGUUCGUUAAGUCUGAUGUGAAAGCCCUGGGCUCAACCUGGGAAUGGCAUUGGAUACUGGCGACCUAGAGUGCGGUAGAGGGGUGUGGAAUUCCCGGUGUAGCAGUGAAAUGCGUAGAUAUCUGGAGGAACACCGGUGGCGAAGGCGGCGUUCUGGACUGCAACUGACACUGAUGAACGAAAGCCAGGGGAGCAAACGGG